CCCAGACUCCUACGGGAGGCAGCAGUGGGGAAUAUUGCACAAUGGGGGAAACCCUGAUGCAGCGACGCCGCGUGAGUGAAGAAGUAUUUCGGUAUGUAAAGCUCUAUCAGCAGGGAAGAAAGAAAUGACGGUACCUGACUAAGAAGCCCCGGCUAACUACGUGCCAGCAGCCGCGGUAAUACGUAGGGGGCAAGCGUUAUCCGGAUUUACUGGGUGUAAAGGGAGCGUAGACGGCGAUGCAAGUCUGAAGUGAAAGGCGGGGGCCCAACCCCCGGACUGCUUUGGAAACUGUAUGGCUGGAGUGCAGGAGAGGUAAGUGGAAUUCCUAGUGUAGUGGUGAAAUGCGUAGAUAUUAGGAGGAACACCAGUGGCGAAGGCGGCUUACUGGACUGUAACUGACGCUGAGGCAUGAGAGCAUGGGGAGCAAACAGGAUUAGAUACCCCCGUAUAC
rnacentral:rRNA from 1 species